ACAAGCGGUGGAGCAUGUGGUUAAUUCGAAGCAACGCGAAGAACCUUACCAGGUCUUGACAUCCCGAUGCUAUUUCUAGAGAUAGAAAGUUACUUCGGUACAUCGGUGACAGGUGGUGCAUGGUUGUCGUCAGCUCGUGUCGUGAGAUGUUGGGUUAAGUCCCGCAACGAGCGCAACCCCUAUUGUUAGUUGCCAUCAUUCAGUUGGGCACUCUAGCGAGACUGCCGGUAAUAAACCGGAGAAGUGGGGAUGACGUCAAAUCAUCAUGCCCCUUAUGACCUGGGCUACACACGUGCUACAAUGGUUGGUACAACGAGUUGCGAGUCGGUGACGGCGAGCUAAUCUCUUAAAGCCAAUCUCAGUUCGGAUUGUAGGCUGCAACUCGCCUACAUGAAGUCGGAAUCGCUAGUAAUCGCGGAUCAGCACGCCGCGGUGAAUACGUUCCCGGGCCUU
rnacentral:rRNA from 1 species